rnacentral:lncRNA from 1 species
GGAACUCAACUCUGUUGACCGGGCUGGCCUUGAACACACAGAUUGCUUGUUUCUGCCUUCUGAAAGCUCGGAUUUAAGGUGUUCACUACCAUGAAAAAAGAACACCAACUUUACUAGAACAACAGAAAUUUCCAAUUUCUAAGAAGGAAAAUAACAUGAAGCCAGCGCCACCUGGGAAGUGUCGCAUCACAUUACCGUUCUGAUGGCUCCUGGCCACACUGAGGGUGACGGAAGACCACCACCAUCAUAGCUGCUGCAAGGUCACGCUUUUGCCUGUAGCAGCUUCAUUGUCAAGGCCGCAGAUAGACUCGUUUCGAAGCUUUUGGUGUGGAGAGAAUCUAUCAAUAUAGAGAGCAGAGCCUUGUUUCUCCAACUAGAACAAACUAUGAACUAACCUAGUUUUCUUCCAGUCUGCUAGAGUACUCUGUGAAGACCUCUCUUCCAUCCCCACCAAAAUGGUGAGGGAAAGACAGGGGCAGGGCGCCACUAGCUCUAGCAGGCUGUUCUAAUGGUACGCUGGGCUCGGGUCCCUUUCUGCUGGUGGUAGUAGGUGUCUUUUCUGGCAGCUGCAGCAGCUUGAUGGGGGAGGAAGGAGCCACCCACACAUCACCUAUAUUUUUUGCGUUCAUAGAACGCACCAUUCUCCUGAAUGAUGCACUCUUUACAAUAGUAGGCAUCGGAGACUCCCGGACCUCCACAGAUCACACGCCGGCCCUGUCUUGUGGAAUAACCCUGUUCCAAGUGGCCCAUGAAUUUAACAUCUGCUUCACAAAAGGCAUAGAGCAAAGGAUUGCCAGUCUACAAUUCACACUGCCAGAGGAGCUAGGAAACAAGGAGCACCCCAAGAGAAGAUUGCAUAGUCCUUCGAAGAACGGGAGGGGGACAAGAACCCCUGAACAAAGUGGGAGCAUGGGGCAUGGGUGGAGAGGAAGGAGGUGGGAAGGGAAGAAGGGGAGGGGGGAGGAGAACAAGAGGACUGAGACAGGGGAGGAAUAGAGGAGGGCAAGAAAGGAGAUGCCUUGAUAGAGGGAGAGAGUACAGGUAUGGAGAGAGGUCUGGCACAGGGGAAAUGUUAGGGGAUCCACAGGGAUGACCCAACUAAGAAACCAAGCAGUGGUGGAGAAGAUGCCAUUGAUGCCCUUCCCCUAUAAUGAGAUUGGUGUCUACCUUGGUUACCAUUCCUAGAGCCUUCAUCCAGUAGCUGUUGGUAGCAGAAACAGGCACCCACAGCUAAGCACUGAACUACUGGAAUCCAGUUGUGGAGA